CGGAGGAGGGCUCUUUCUGCAUAUGUAGAAAUGUCAAUGGUUCAACGCUGACAUGUCAUGGGAGCAGAAGUCUUUUAAGCAUGCUGUAGGAGACAGCUUCUUCAUUGGGUUUUAAAAAGUAAAUGAAGCAAGUCUAGCAAGGUGCGGUGAGGAAGCGUAGGGUCAUGUGCUGCUCUACAGGAAACGAGAUUGAAGCGACUGGAGAAGUUCAGAGCUCUGUGACCUCCACCAAAUUCAAAUAGCACAGAAAUGUACAGCCUCGGAAAUGUUCCUGUGAUCUAAUUAGCUUCAGAAGGUGCAUUCUGGAGUGAGUUUGUCAGGCCUCGUGUUCUGCCCAAGCAUCUCUCCAGCUUCUGAGGAGAUUUUUAAGAAGAAGAGAAACAAAUACCUGCCAGGAGUGGUACUGUGGUUCAGAGGAAGAGGAAGAACAUAUAUGUACCCUUUUCCAGCCUGUAUUUCAGUCUCCUUGUUGGCUAACUUUAUAUUUCGCUCGUUAUUGAAAACUGGUUAGUUAUUUUGAAGACAGUGAACAUUGAAUCAUAUGCAUGAUGCAAUAUAUUCCAUGCACCACUUUCCACGAAAGGCAGGUGUCAUGCUGCUCCUGAGUUUCUUGAGAUUUUGCUCUUUUCAU
rnacentral:lncRNA from 1 species